UACAGAGGGUGCAAGCGUUGUUCGGAAUUAUUGGGCGUAAAGCGCGUGUAGGCGGCAUGGCAAGUCGGGGUGGUGAAAGCCCUCAGCUUAACUGAGGAAGUGCGCCCCGAAACUGCCGUGCUUGAGUGCCGGAGAGGGUGGCGGAAUUCCCGGUGUAGAGGUGAAAUUCGUAGAUAUCGGGGAGGAACACCGGUGGCGAAGGCGGCGAUCUGGGUAGAUACGUGACGCUG
rnacentral:rRNA from 1 species